rnacentral:rRNA from 1 species
GGACUACAGGGGUUUCUAAUCCUGUUUGCUCCCCACGCUUUCGCACCUCAGCGUCAGUAUCAGGCCAGGUAGCCGCCUUCGCCACUGAUGUUCCUUCCGAUAUCUACGCAUUUCACCGCUACACCGGAAAUUCCACUACCCUCUUCUGUACUCUAGACUUGCAGUUUCACGUGCAGUUCCCAGGUUAAGCCCAGGUAUUUCACACUUGACUUACAAACCCGCCUACGUGCCCUUUACGCCCAAUAAUUCCGAUUAACGCUUGCACCCUCUGUCUUACCGCGGCUGCUGGCAC